AACCUGUAUCCUGAACAGUCACCGGACGGUGGCGUGGUCGGGACAUCCGGCAUAGGGACGUGGUUGGAA
rnacentral:sRNA from 1 species